CACACACUGACACCAACUCCGGUCUCCAAGUUCAUGUUACUCAGAACACAAUAAUGAUCACUGCUGGUCUGAUCAGACUCUCUGCAGCUCUGCUCUGGAUUGUAGGUCUAAUUGAUGGGAGUGAUGUCACUCAGACACCUUUGCUGUGGAAACUCAAGGAUCAGUCUGCCACAAUGAACUGCAGUCACAACAAGGACGUUACUUAUUUCCAGAUGUACUGGUACAGACAGCUACCAGGAGAGGGGAUGAAGCAAAUAGUUCUCACCACUACAACUCCACCACAUAAAUAUGAAAGUGGCUUCAGCGAGGACAAGUUUCCAGCGCAGAAGAACGACCCUCAGACUGGAUCUUUGACAGUGGAGAAGCUGCUGCCUGAGGACAGUGGAGUGUAUUUUUGUGCUGUGAGUCAACACAGUGAUACAGGUGGCUGAGACAGCUGUACAAAU